rnacentral:lncRNA from 1 species
AUUAACUCAAAACAAUUCACCUUACCAAGAGACCAAGUACUUUGCUUUGUACUGAAGACUCUGAAAAAUUCUGUCAAAAGAAUAAAUAGGUUACUUUAUCAUGAAGAAAAGAAUUUUUACAUAUAAAGUCAAUCCCAUCUUCCCACCUCUAAAACUUGAAUGUAGAUUGCCAAUCCUUGGUUUUCAAUAAAGUGUUUGCAGGCAGCUGGAGAUUCAUCUGUAAGAUUCCAAAGUGCUUUCAAAGCAAACAAGAGGGUGACAUCAUCUAAAUUUUCAGUAGUCUUUUGUUUCACUAUCGCUAUAAGUUCCUAAAACACAAAGAGACAGGAGGUUAGAUGCCCUUAUGACUCACUUCCAUUACAAGAAAAGCAAAAUUAAGAAGAGUGUUAGGGGCUGGGGAUGUGGCUCAAGCGGUAGCGCGCUCGCCUGGUAUGCGUGGUGUGCUGGGUUCGAUCCUCAGUACCACAUGCAACUAAAAAAAUAAAGAAAAACUAAAACAUAAACAUUAAAAGAUUCUCUCUCUUAAAAAAAAAUCAUGAUGUUAGAAUCAAAUCCCUGUUCCAAACCCAAGUUUCAUCACUUAAUAGCUUUGUGAUCCAUUUUUUCAGUAAAAUAUAUUUUAACUACCUCCUAUGGUUUUUUGUGAUUAACUGAAGAAAACAAAAAUAUAGAUGGGUAGUAGCUCAGUGGUACAGCACUUGCCUGGCGUGCAUGAGGCCUCCUAGUCCAAUCCCCAGUAUAACCAAAAAAAGAAAAAAAAAAGGGGGGGGGGCAGGAGGAUAAAAGUUUAAUAAGCGUGCUUAGUUGGUAAAAACAAAAACAAACAAACAAACAAACUGCAUUAUUGCCAGUAAUCUCAGUAGAGCAGCUCAGGAGGCUGAGGCAGGAGGAUCAUGAGUUCAAAACCAGCCUCAGCAAUUUAGCAAGGCCCUAAGCAACUCAGUUAGAC